rnacentral:rRNA from 1 species
GAUGAACGCUGGCGGCGUGCCUAAUACAUGCAAGUCGAGCGAACGGACGAGAAGCUUGCUUCUCUGAUGUUAGCGGCGGACGGGUGAGUAACACGUGGAUAACCUACCUAUAAGACUGGGAUAACUUCGGGAAACCGGAGCUAAUACCGGAUAAUAUUUUGAACCGCAUGGUUCAAAAGUGAAAGACGGUCUUGCUGUCACUUAUAGAUGGAUCCGCGCUGCAUUAGCUAGUUGGUAAGGUACCGGCUUACCAAGGCAACGAUGCAUAGCCGACCUGAGAGGGUGAUCAGCCACACUGGAACUGAGACACGGUCCAGACUCCUACGGGAGGCAGCAGUAGGGAAUCUUGCGCAAUGGGCGAAAGCCUGACGGAGCAACGCCGCGUGAGUGAUGAAGGUCUUCGGAUCGUAAAGCUCUGUUAUUGGGGAAGAACAGAUGUGUGUGUAACUGCGCCCGUUUUGACGGUACCUAAACAGAAAGCCCCGGCUAACUUCGUG